CAAGGUUAAAAGACUUGGUGCGCCUCCUGACUCUGUGCUUCACCCCGGUGUUUGAAAGCAGUGGCAGGGGGAGGCGAGGGGAAAAGGAAGACAUCAGUACACAAGGAGAAGCUGAAACCAAAAGACCAGCCCGUGCUGCACGUUCCCACUUCUCGGCAACUGUGGCUGACACCUUUGCUUGUCCUUCACCGACUGACGGCUCCGAAACCAGGCCUGGCUUUCUGUGCCUAUCCCUGGGGGGGAACUGCUGGGUAUUCUCGGAGUACACGUCGGGAUGCAGGCAUCCUAUGCUCUGCAGGUGUCAAGUGGUGUCAGGUGGAAGAGUGGAAAGCAGAGGGUUCUUGUUCAGUUUGCAAGCUGCGACAGGCUGCGGGCCAGGUGGAGAGCAGGUUCGGAACGCAGAGUGGCCUGGAGAAGUCGGAGGAGUGGCCUGGACAGACUGGGAUGUGGACGGCUGCAAGGCUCUCCUCUGUUGAGGUGGGAACACUCAACGGCGUUAAUGCAAGGAUAAGAGAUGACUGGCUAAGAAGCUGUCCUGAAGAGAAGGAUCUGUGUCUUGGAAUGGAUCGUCUUAGAAGAGGUUACAUGUGAAAUGUGGCUCAGUAGAGUGACACGCUUUAGAGCAACUAGAAACAUGAUUCAAGAGAGAAAAUUGAACAAAUUGGGAUUGCCUAAACUAAAGAAGAGAGAAGCAGCAUGAAAACAAAGAGUUCAGCCUGAGACCUAGAAAUUGCUUCAUAAGAAAACCAUCUGUGUUGAGAGAGAUGGACUGAGGUAUCCUGUCACAUACACUGUUCAAGUAUUGCUAAUUAUGGAUGUAUUUUGGAUCUGGCUACUCCUAUGUGCCCACAUAGCAACUGAUGGAAUGCCUCUCAUUUUUGGUGGAAAAGUGUUUACUUUUGAGAAGUCCAUGGCAGCUGUAGCCCUAUUUUUGUCACCAGAAGCUGGUUCACUGCCAUAUCGUCUGAAGGAAUAUGGUGGUUCUGGAGAAGAGGAACAAUGGGAGGAAGAUGGUUGAUACACACACGUGCACAAGCCCUCCUGGGUAUAAUUUAACGUCUGCAGAUUUCCACGGUGGGUGAAGAAAGAGUAAUGCCCACUGCCCAAGAGGAUGUGGAGGAGAAGCAGAAGGGAGUACAUACUUGCCCUGUGGCAAUGAUGGAUGCUGUCCAUGCUGGGAGCUGCUGCUACUUGCUGUGGAGAUGCUCAGAGGAAGGGAGGCUCCCGGGCUGGGUCUUGAAACAACGUGCUUGCAUCAACUGUUUACCCUGGGCCAACCAAACAUGUUGAAGGUCCCCUGGGGUGUCUGGAAGCUGCAGAGCAGCCGCCACGUGCACUUCGGCUGGAGGACACACCUGGGCCAGGUCUGGAAAAGGGCAGUUGGGGUUGGCGUGGUGGUGCACUGGUGCUCUCUGACUCCGCAGGGCAGCAAUGACAUCAGGUAAUGCUGUGUUGGGGAGUCAGAGGAGCUGAAAUUUGUCCUCCUGAGCUCUGAUGUCAGGGUGCAGUGUUAUCUUUCUGAGAGCACUGUGGUGAUAUUGUUGGGAAUUAUCUAUCCCACACUGAGGGGAGCCUAUCUGAAGCUAACACAGUCCUUGCAAAGUGCAAGGUCCUUUGUGAAGAACUGUGGCAUGAUGUUUAACUUACAGUUUUCAGCAGCAAAGAAAAGAACAAAUGCUGGAAAUAUGCAUUAAACCUCUCCAUGAUAGCUGAAAAAGAGUGUGAAAAAGCUGUAGCCCAGUCUGCUUUCCAUUUGUGACUACUUUGUAUAUUUUUUUUUACUUUUGUCUAUUUAUGACAGUUUUUAAAUGGCUCAUGUGAAAAGUCUUCUUUAAAUCCCUUGCCUUUUACUAGAUCAAAGUCUCCAGACCAUCACAAAAUGGAUUAUUUUGGGAGGAGUUCUUAAUGAACUGAAAAUUGAAAGCUAGGCCAUUAAUCCUUAACAUCAAGUGGAAAUUCUUCACAUUACUCUUUAUUGUCUUAGUGUCACUGGAAAUUAAGAACUGUCUUCCCUGGUGAAUCUGGAAGCAGUCUCUGAUUGUACAGAGCCACUACUUAUUCCGCCCUCGUGCUUCCCUUGAGUAUAAGUUAUGAUAUAUCAGCAUUGUCUUUGAGGUCUACUGCAUGUGGAUAUGCAAUACACUGAAGAGUGGAGACGAAAUGAAGUUGAAAGGAUUCAUGAAUAAAAUUGUCUGCCAUGUAACCCAUUUUUCUUCACAACCCAGAGAAGACCUGAUUUCUUCAGCAGUUCAGCAAGGAUUGAAAGAGACCUCUGAAGACACAGGCUAAAACUGUCUCCUAUAAACUUCAACACAAUAUGUACCUAUAGGCACCUCUCAUCCUUCACAGAUAUUUGUCUAAUUGCACUCAUUUAUUGAUCUGAAAUGUAAAGUGUCCAAGAAGACAUUGGACAUCCCCAAUUUAAGCUUUUCUCUCAACCUUCCCUGAAGGUCCAUCCAGAAGAAACCCUGAAUGUUUGUCAUUUGUCAAGGAUUCAAUAAUUGGCAGGAAAGGAUGGCUUUGGGCACAUAUGUCCCUUCCCUCCCUCCCUCUCCCAAACAUUGUGAUCUUGUUUAGCUUUGUACUGUCAUGUUAGCUUCUUCUGUACUUGCCAGGGUUCAACUUGUAUCUUGUGAUGGCGCUGCAGAAGCUUGUCACCUUGAGCACUUUCCACAAUUUCCUCAUGCUGAUUGCUGUUUCCAUGGAAGUCUGUGAUGUGUUUUAUUCAAAGUAUAAUUUGUAGAAUGUUUGCUUAGAACAGAGGAAGGGAAAAAUAACUUCUUCAAGACAGAGUGAAAGAAAAUAUACUCUAAAUUUUAAAAAAACAUUAACCCCUCCUCUAAACCUUAAUCCCUGGCUCUGCUGAAUCCCCAAUUAAUACCAGUUCUCUUUAGGACAGAAGUGUUCAAUGACAACAUGAAGGAAGACAUGUCAGGUCACAGACGCAGAGCAUGAAAUAUCUCUACUCUUGUUAAUUAUGACCCAGCCUUACCAAAAAACAGAUGGAACUUCUUUCAAAGCUUUGUGUGUAUGCCUGUGUGUGCGCACAUAUGCAUGUCUGUCUUACGAAUGGCUAAUUCAAAUCAAACUUGGGAUUCUAGUCAAGACAACAUCUUCACUGCCUGAACUGGUUUGUUUCUGUACUCUUAUCAUUACCAAAAAGAAGGAAAACUACAAUCAAGUUUAAUUCAACUCCAAAGAGAAAGAAUAUAUUCCACACUUUCCAUUAACAGCCCACUAUGCAAUACUUUCCUAUAUGACACACACGACAAAGCACAGGCUCUGGGCCUGAUUCUGCUUGAAAUUUCACAACUAACUAUAGCAUCUGCAGCUUGAGUAGUGCAGCUAAAACCCCAAUCAACCUCUCCUCUUUCCCCUUCUCUGGAUUACAGGGCUACAGGGUUAAACUUUACUUAUGCAUAAUAGGAAGAGAGAUACAUCUGCUUAUGCAGGGAUGUGCAACACUAGCUAUAGGUGCUCAGGAGCACCACUGUGCUCCACAUCCUUACCAGAUACAGUGGAUUAUCCAAAAGGCAGUGGUGCCUGCACCCCUUCCUUCAGCUCAACCAUGCCCAAGAGUGUUUUAAGUAUUACUGGAACCUAACUCUGGUCUUAAACUGACUCUUUUGCAAGACCUUGCAGUGCAGUUCAUUACUAUGAAGUGUCAAGAAUUCAAAGGGAGGAACACGUGAGAACAGAAUUAGCUGCCUCCAGACUGGAACAGCAAUGCUGCUAAUUGGGACACUUACAAAACAGUGUCAUAUGUGUCAUUGCUUUUUACUAUCCCCCAGAAACACCUCCAGAAAAAUAUAAAAUGUUAAUCUGACUUUUUUUCCCAGCAUACAGUUGCUUUACAGGAGGCUGCCUCUCUUGUCCCUUGGAAUGGAUAUUGUUCAGAAGUAUUUACAGGCAAAAACUACCUUCUAGGACCACUGAUACUGGGACACAGGCAUUAAGCAAAAAUUAAGCAAAUCCCAGUUGCAAGGGAAUGAACAGUUAAAAGGCAGGAAGGUAACAUAUGUGCUUCUAUGCUUUGCCCCAACUGGGUGACACUCUAAUAAGUUUCUUAUUCUGCUUUCUUCUGCUGAGAGACUGGAAGACAUAUGUCACUUUUCCACCUUAACUGUGCAUUUUCUAGUUUGUUUGGAUUUAUGUCAUAACCUUAAUGGGAUUUAAAUGGAAUUUUUAUAUGUGAAUAAUACUGUGCAUUAAUGCAAGAACUUUAGGUUGCCGUGCUACCAGCCUGAUUUGCAUAAAGGUUUUUAAAUAUGGAAGAUGAAUAGCCAGGCUAUUGUAGAUGGCAAAGUGAAAAAAAAGACACUGGCAUAAUAGUAAGAGGAGGAGACAACCGCUCCAAAACAUUGGCUUGUGAAAGGGUUAACUCUCUGACUCUUAGGUACAACCAGGUGUGAGAGAAAAGCCUGGGGGUCAUGCUAGUCAUGAAUAUUUAGAUGCUAGAGGGUCAAGGCUGGAUUAAAUGGUGAAGUAGACAGGUCAAUGUCAUAGUUUUAUACUUCAUCAUAAAACAUUCUCUGUUCUACUGUACUGUCUGUGAUCUGCAAAUGUAAAUUGUCUGUGUCAGUGCUUAGCUCACAUGACAGUUACACACACACCCCCACAUUGGUGUGCAGAAGUGGCUGUUUCCUGUAAGUAUAUGCUAUACUGUAGAUUUAGGGAGAUUAUCUGUAAAUAAUAAAACCAAUAAGGUGUCCGUGUCUUACAUUAAAAAAAAAAUGUGUUAUUGUGCAAUUACGUACUACUUAUGUUUAAUGUACAGUGUGUUGUCUCUCUAUUUCCAAAUCCUUGUUUACCCUUGAGUAUGUCAAGUAGGAGUAGGAGAAUACUUCCCCCUUUUGUACUAUUAUUUUAUUCGGAAGGGGAAUUUGGGGCACAGUUCCAAAGAUUUGUCUUGAUAAAUUUUUUGUGGCAGCACUGAGAGUAGCACUGCAGGUUUUCUGACUCUUGAUCCUUUGCCUUAAACAAAAUAUCAUCCUUUUGGUUUUCCAAGCCUGAAUUGCGUGUGAGCAGCUCCAAGUUACUGAUGGUAGUGCAGUCAGUGAACUUUCCUGCUGGCAUGUUUUUCAUUCUUAGUGCACCAUUAUUAUUUUUAAAUGAAUUAUGUAUAUAACACGCUUGGUGUACAGACUACUCUGCAUGUGAAUAAUAAAGCACAGUCUCUGCUCUGAGGAACUGACAGUCUAAGGGCUUGAUCCAGUAAACACUUAUUCCUGGGUGAUUUGCUUAGCCUACUAUCAUGAGUAAUCUGUUGAUCUGGCCCCAAACUAAUUAGGUAACUUGACAAAUAAGCACAAUAGGACACACUAGGUAGUGAAGGAGGAAAGGGAUGAGACACAACAGUACAUAAAGAUUUAGGAAGAAAGAGGAUAAACACAAGCUGGUUUGGAUUUGAUUUAUUUCUCUGUGGCAAUGUCUGCACGGAAAUGCUGUAAAGGAUGAAGCUUGGGCUCUGGAAUGAAGUGUGUUGGAUUUCAUCCAAGCCUUACACCUUGCUCUGCAUUCAGCUUGCCCUCAUGACAGGUGAUAGCCUUGUCUUGACCUAAUUAUUUUCCUUUAUGAUCCAUCUCUGCAAUCAGUCCCAGAGGAGUCUUCAUGAUGGUCUUUUAAAAGUAGGUGAGAUUGAAUAUACGUGCAUAGGUCUGAAGAGCAUUGGAGUGGGAUGAGUUAAACCAUGCUGUUGGUGAGCCAUUGGCUGACUGUCCAGGAUGGUCCCAUGAUCAAGGCUUAAGUUUCUUGCAAAUGAGUUAGCUCCCUACAUGUGGGGAACAGAACAGCAGCAGCGGUGUAUGUAUGACCUUCUUGUGAAAAAAUCAUCAGGUGAUGAUACUACUUUGGAGUCAAGUCUUGGCUCUCUUUAUCUCUUGCAGAAGCAGAAUAUGCAGUGCCAUGGUGCCAGGACACUGGUCUGUACUCUUGCUUGGGAGUCCUGCAGGGUGAGGGACCAAACACUGAAUUUCAGUUCUGAGAUUUCACGUGUUGGUACAAAUGAGCUUAAAGCACUUUAUCAGUGUUGAGGCACUGUUUGAGUAUGGUUAUUUUCUGCUGAAUAGUAGUAUUUAGUUUAUGCUUAAAGAUCCUGUUUUUACUGCUGUAAGUGAUGCUUGGACUUGUAGGGGCCACCACUGACCUUGUUUGCAUGGGUUCUGCAUUUAAGGCUGCAUUAAAGUAUGAAGACCUUGUCAGGAAAAAAAAUCCAUGCAUUUUUGUCUGAGAGGUGACCCAGGGCAGAUCAUCAGUGGAACUGGGGCUGUGAAGGGCAGAAUGGAAGUACCUAUAUCUGGCUUUGAAAGCCCUUGACUGAUGGACUUAGUAACAUACUGCUUAUAGGCACCCUUGAAGCAGUUUCCUGGUACCUGGCUUCUGUCUGAAUUUUCUACAAGAUCUAGGCUAAGGGAUCUUGAAAAGAAAAGUCCACUUGUAAGCAUGGACAAAAUGAUUGUCUCAAAUGAUUGUCCAAGGUACUAAUUUCACCAUCUGGUGCUGUUUGCAACAUGCAAAGGGUCACAGGUGGCUCAGGAAUAAUAAAGUUGUAUUUAUUCAGCUGACUACUGUGCUGGAAAAGGGUAGAUAUAUUUCACUGACUUGGUC